ACGCCACCGCGUGGGGAGGGACUUCCUCCUGGCGCCCCGGAAACCGAAAGGAGCUCUUUUCUGCAGGAAGGAGAAGGGAGUUGCCGCCGACAUCGGACACCGGAAAGCAGGCUCGUUGUGUUGCGUAAGGUAUAUGAGCGCUUUGAAAACAGAACACCGUUGUUUCCGUGAUUCGAUCAUUCAGAAAUUAUGAAGGCACAGUUCUUGCCUUUGAUUGACUUAAAGUCAAGCGGAGUAGACAUAGGUCAUGGUGGCAGUAUAGCCACUUAAGUAUUCCGAAGGAGUUUAAUUCCACCAGGAUUUGAGUGAGGUGGAAAUAGAGCAGAAAAACCUGAAUCUGUCAAACUGGGGAAAAUGAAGAAAAGGCAAUCAAUUAAUUUAUCAGCAGGUUGCAGGUGAACAUGGCCUUGAGGUAAAUCCUGCCCCUUGUUGAAAUGUAGUUUCAGUAGAUAGUUCUUGGCAUUUUAAGGAAUUAGAAUAGUUACAAAAAAAAAAAAAAAGUUUUGUUUUGGUUCUUUUCUAGACUUUUUUUUUCUUGUAGAUGAUGAGAAACAUAUUAAAGGUUCUUUAUGCUGAGUAAUUGUGAUGCUUGAAGUUGGUCAUCUGCCUUGUUUAAAUUAAGUGGAUUUUAAAUGUCAAAGCUAAUUGUAGACCAUUUUUCCUUGAGCAAAAUAAAAUCUUAUUAAAACCUUA